GCAGACGACGCUGGCGGCGUGCUUAACACAUGCAAGUCGAACGAUGAAAGGAAGCUUGCUUCCUGGAUUAGUGGCGAACGGGUGAGUAACACGUGAGCAAUCUGCCCUUGACUCUGGGAUAAGCGUUGGAAACGACGUCUAAUACCGGAUACGACCCUCGGAGGCAUCUCCUGGGGGUGGAAAGAAUUUUGGUCAAGGAUGAGCUCGCGGCCUAUCAGCUUGUUGGUGAGGUAAUGGCUCACCAAGGCGACGACGGGUAGCCGGCCUGAGAGGGUGACCGGCCACACUGGGACUGAGACACGGCCCAGACUCCUACGGGAGGCAGCAGUGGGGAAUAUUGCACAAUGGGCGAAAGCCUGAUGCAGCAACGCCGCGUGAGGGACGACGGCCUUCGGGUUGUAAACCUCUUUUAGUAGGGAAGAAGCGAAAGUGACGGUACCUGCAGAAAAAGCACCGGCUAACUACGUGCCAGCAGCCGCGGUAAUACGUAGGGUGCAAGCGUUGUCCGGAAUUAUUGGGCGUAAAGAGCUCGUAGGCGGUUUGUCGCGUCUGCUGUGAAAACCCGAGGCUCAACCUCGGGCCUGCAGUGGGUACGGGCAGACUAGAGUGCGGUAGGGGAGAUUGGAAUUCCUGGUGUAGCGGUGGAAUGCGCAGAUAUCAGGAGGAACACCGAUGGCGAAGGCAGAUCUCUGGGCCGUAACUGACGCUGAGGAGCGAAAGCAUGGGGAGCGAACAGGAUUAGAUACCCUGGUAGUCCAUGCCGUAAACGUUGGGAACUAGAUGUGGGGACCAUUCCACGGUCUCCGUGUCGCAGCUAACGCAUUAAGUCCCCGCCU
rnacentral:rRNA from 1 species